rnacentral:rRNA from 1 species
UUAAGCGACUAAGCGUACACGGUGGAUGCCCUGGCAGUCAGAGGCGAUGAAGGACGUGCUAAUCUGCGAAAAGCGUCGGUAAGGUGAUAUGAACCGUUAUAACCGGCGAUGUCCGAAUGGGGAAACCCAGUGCAAUUCGUUGCACUAUCGUUAACUGAAUACAUAGGUUAACGAGGCGAACCGGGGGAACUGAAACAUCUAAGUACCCCGAGGAAAAGAAAUCAACCGAGAUUCCCCCAGUAGCGGCGAGCGAACGGGGAGCAGCCCAGAGUCUGAAUCAGCUUGUGUGUUAGUGGAACGGUCUGGAAAGUCCGACGGUACAGGGUGAUAGUCCCGUACACCAAAAUGCACAGGUUGUGAACUCGAAGAGUAGGGCGGGACACGUGGUAUCCUGUCUGAAUAUGGGGGGACCAUCCUCCAAGGCUAAAUACUCCUGACUGACCGAUAGUGAACCAGUACCGUGAGGGAAAGGCGAAAAGAACCCCGGCGAGGGGAGUGAAAAAGAACCUGAAACCGUGUACGUACAAGCAGUGGGAGCACCUUCGGGUGUGACUGCGUACCUUUUGUAUAAUGGGUCAGCGACUUAUAUUCUGUAGCAAGGUUAACCGUAUAGGGGAGCCGCAGGGAAACCGAGUCUUAACUGGGCGUUAAGUUGCAGGGUAUAGACCCGAAACCCGGUGAUCUAGCCAUGGGCAGGUUGAAGGUUGGGUAACACUAACUGGAGGACCGAACCGACUAAUGUUGAAAAAUUAGCGGAUGACUUGUGGCUGGGGGUGAAAGGCCAAUCAAACCGGGAGAUAGCUGGUUCUCCCCGAAAGCUAUUUAGGUAGCGCCUCGUGAACUCAUCUUCGGGGGUAGAGCACUGUUUCGGCUAGGGGGUCAUCCCGACUUACCAACCCGAUGCAAACUACGAAUACCGAAGAAUGUUAUCACGGGAGACACACGGCGGGUGCUAACGUCCGUCGUGAAGAGGGAAACAACCCAGACCGCCAGCUAAGGUCCCAAAGUCAUGGUUAAGUGGGAAACGAUGUGGGAAGGCACAGACAGCCAGGAUGUUGGCUUAGAAGCAGCCAUCAUUUAAAGAAAGCGUAAUAGCUCACUGGUCGAGUCGGCCUGCGCGGAAGAUGUAACGGGGCUAAACCAUGCACCGAAGCUGCGGCAGCGACACUAUGUGUUGUUGGGUAGGGGAGCGUUCUGUAAGCCUGCGAAGGUGUGCUGUGAGGCAUGCUGGAGGUAUCAGAAGUGCGAAUGCUGACAUAAGUAACGAUAAAGCGGGUGAAAAGCCCGCUCGCCGGAAGACCAAGGGUUCCUGUCCAACGUUAAUCGGGGCAGGGUGAGUCGACCCCUAAGGCGAGGCCGAAAGGCGUAGUCGAUGGGAAACAGGUUAAUAUUCCUGUACUUGGUGUUACUGCGAAGGGGGGACGGAGAAGGCUAUGUUAGCCGGGCGACGGUUGUCCCGGUUUAAGCAUGUAGGCUGGUUAUCCAGGCAAAUCCGGAUAAUCAAGGCUGAGGUGUGAUGACGAGGCACUACGGUGCUGAAGUAACAAAUGCCCUGCUUCCAGGAAAAGCCUCUAAGCAUCAGGUAACAUUAAAUCGUACCCCAAACCGACACAGGUGGUCAGGUAGAGAAUACCAAGGCGCUUGAGAGAACUCGGGUGAAGGAACUAGGCAAAAUGGUGCCGUAACUUCGGGAGAAGGCACGCUGGUGUGUAGGUGAAGUCCCUGCGGAUGGAGCUGAGACCAGUCGAAGAUACCAGCUGGCUGCAACUGUUUAUUAAAAACACAGCACUGUGCAAACACGAAAGUGGACGUAUACGGUGUGACGCCUGCCCGGUGCCGGAAGGUUAAUUGAUGGGGUUAUCCGUAAGGAGAAGCUCUUGAUCGAAGCCCCGGUAAACGGCGGCCGUAACUAUAACGGUCCUAAGGUAGCGAAAUUCCUUGUCGGGUAAGUUCCGACCUGCACGAAUGGCGUAAUGAUGGCCAGGCUGUCUCCACCCGAGACUCAGUGAAAUUGAACUCGCUGUGAAGAUGCAGUGUACCCGCGGCAAGACGGAAAGACCCCGUGAACCUUUACUAUAGCUUGACACUGAACAUUGAGCCUUGAUGUGUAGGAUAGGUGGGAGGCUUUGAAGCGUGGACGCCAGUCUGCGUGGAGCCAACCUUGAAAUACCACCCUUUAAUGUUUGAUGUUCUAACGUUGGCCCCUGACCGGGGUUGCGGACAGUGUCUGGUGGGUAGUUUGACUGGGGCGGUCUCCUCCCAAAGCGUAACGGAGGAGCACGAAGGUUAGCUAAUCCUGGUCGGACAUCAGGAGGUUAGUGCAAUGGCAUAAGCUAGCUUGACUGCGAGCGUGACGGCGCGAGCAGGUGCGAAAGCAGGUCAUAGUGAUCCGGUGGUUCUGAAUGGAAGGGCCAUCGCUCAACGGAUAAAAGGUACUCCGGGGAUAACAGGCUGAUACCGCCCAAGAGUUCAUAUCGACGGCGGUGUUUGGCACCUCGAUGUCGGCUCAUCACAUCCUGGGGCUGAAGUAGGUCCCAAGGGUAUGGCUGUUCGCCAUUUAAAGUGGUACGCGAGCUGGGUUUAGAACGUCGUGAGACAGUUCGGUCCCUAUCUGCCGUGGGCGCUGGAGAAUUGAGGGGGGCUGCUCCUAGUACGAGAGGACCGGAGUGGACGCAUCACUGGUGUUCGGGUUGUCAUGCCAAUGGCACUGCCCGGUAGCUAAAUGCGGAAGAGAUAAGUGCUGAAAGCAUCUAAGCACGAAACUUGCCCCGAGAUGAGUUCUCCCUGAGACUUUAAGUCUCCUGAAGGAACGUUGAAGACGACGACGUUGAUAGGCCGGGUGUGUAAGCGCAGCGAUGCGUUGAGCUAACCGGUACUAAUGAACCGUGAGGCUUAACCUU